rnacentral:rRNA from 1 species
AACGAACGCUGGCGGCGUGCCUAACACAUGCAAGUCGGACGGGAUUAAGGGGCUUGCUCCUUAAUCUAGUGGCGCACGGGUGAGUAACGCGUGGAUAAUCUACCCGAUGAUCUGGGAUAACAUUUCGAAAGAGGUGCUAAUACCGGAUAAGCCCACGGGGUCUUCGGACUCUGCGGGAAAAGGGGGGACCUUCGGGCCUUCUGUCAUCGGAUGAGUCCGCGUACCAUUAGCUAGUUGGCGGUGUAAGAGACCACCAAGGCGACGAUGGUUAGCUGGUCUGAGAGGCUGGUCAGCCACGCUGGAACUGAGACACGGUCCAGACUCCUACGGGAGGCAGCAGUGGGGAAUUUUGCGCAAUGGGGGAAACCCUGACGCAGCAACGCCGCGUGAGUGAUGAAGGCCUUCGGGUCGUAAAGCUCUGUCAGAGGGAAAGAAAUGUAUUGUGGCUAAUAUCCACGAUGCUUGACGGUACCCUCAAAGGAAGCACCGGCUAACUCCAUGCCAGCCGCCGCGGUAAAAC